GAUGAACGCUGGCGGCGUGCCUAAUACAUGCAAGUCGAGCGAACAGACGAGGAGCUUGCUCCUCUGACGUUAGCGGCGGACGGGUGAGUAACACGUGGAUAACCUACCUAUAAGACUGGGAUAACUUCGGGAAACCGGAGCUAAUACCGGAUAAUAUAUUGAACCGCAUGGUUCAAUAGUGAAAGACGGUUUUGCUGUCACUUAUAGAUGGAUCCGCGCCGCAUUAGCUAGUUGGUAAGGUAACGGCUUACCAAGGCAACGAUGCGUAGCCGACCUGAGAGGGUGAUCGGCCACACUGGAACUGAGACACGGUCCAGACUCCUACGGGAGGCAGCAGUAGGGAAUCUUACGCAAUGGGCGAAAGCAUGACGGAGCAACGCCGCGUGAGUGAUGAAGGUCUUCGGAUCGUAAAACUCUGUUAUGAGGGAAGAACAAAUGUGUAAGUAACUAUGCACGUCUUGACGGUACCUAAUCAGAAAGCCACGGCUAACUACGUG
rnacentral:rRNA from 1 species